rfam:Oscillochloris trichoides DG6 genomic scaffold OSCTscaffold_2, whole genome shotgun sequence.
GGCGAAGGCCGCCUGCGCGGCCUA